rnacentral:misc_RNA from 1 species
UCAAACUUGGUCAUUUAGAGGAAGUAAAAGUCGUAACAAGGUCUCCGUUGGUGAACCAGCGGAGGGAUCAUUAAAGAGUCGUAAAACACUCCCUAAACCCUUUGUUAAUCUACCUGUCGUUGCUUCGGCGGGCAGCCCCAGGGCGGGGCUGUGGCCGCAAGGCGCCCGCCGAAGGUAUCGCAAACUCGUAUUGUAUUCGUGGUCUUCAGAGUAUCAAACAAAAUAAUCAAAACUUUCAACAACGGAUCUCUUGGUUCCAGCAUCGAUGAAGAACGCAGC